UGGGCGAGAUAUAGCCAAUAAAAGAUUUCAAAUUGCUAGCAGAUUACUGUCACUCUGAUCUGGUUCAAGACCAGAUUAUAGAGGUUUGAUGGGGAAAAGCCUGUGCUUAAUGAGCCAUGUCUUAGCCAAUUUGUAACAUUAAAGGCUCUUGCGCAACCAGCAUGUCUAGCGACAGCUGUCUUGAGAAAUUGAUUGUGUUUUGCAUUUUCAUGCAGUACGAAAUUAGGCCAGUUUUGAAAAUAUUGUCCCAAAGCAUGCCGGUUGCGCAACAGCCUUUAAAAUGAGUUUGCACAUUUCGAAGUAUUUUAUAAUGUUUUCUUAGGUUAUAUGGUUAAAGUUGAAACAUUCUACAAAUAUGUAUUUUGAGACACCAUCACUCCGGUAGUCUAGGUUCCAAUUGUAUAUUGCUAAGGAAUGGGGAAACUGAAAAAAGUCAAUGACAAAAAUACUGUUGGUGUUCCAAGAGUUUUGGGAGACAUGGUAAAUUUUUAUAGAAAUAAAUAAGUUACUUUAUCGUGGAAACUGCUCCUUUGAUAGCUCGUACAAUGCCCAUUCGGAGUAUUGCUGCAUUUUUACUUUUUCUGUGCUUCGAGGAUCAGCCUCAUUUUUUGUGUUCUGGUCUCCAGAGAGUUCCGUGGUUUUCACAAUUGAGAGGCUGAAGGAUGAAGCAGUUCGAGCAGAGAAGGUUUUUCUAACGUCGUUUACGAAAGAUAUAGGUAUCAAGUUGAAAAAGAAGACAAAUAAGAAGAUCAAACAUGGACAAAAACUUGCUGUGAACAAGGACAAACAGUUUAAUUUUCGAAUUUGGAUUCUUUAACUUAAAAGAGCAUCAUGAAAUACCUCUACACAUGCCAAAUCAGAAGCAAGGCUGAUUUCAUUCUCCUAAAAGACCUCGGAACGUGAACAAGAUGCAAAGCACAGAAAAGGCACAAACGGUGAAAAAAUGCCAUAAAUGAAGCAUUUUUCAUGUGACACUUCUCGGACUAAAAAAGGCGGAUAACGCUUAGAAAGAUUCUGGCAAGGUAAAAUAUAUUGGAAAAACAAAAGCUAUGGAAGGAACAUAUAUUUACACCAACCAAAAGGUAUUUAUUAAUGUUCUUAUGCCAGUCUGUAGCAUUAUUAAGAAAGUUAUGAUUAUAUGAAAAUUUGAAGAAAAAGUAAGGCUAUUGGCUUGGGAAAUUUGUCGAUAAUUAAGCAAAGAUUUUUGCCACAAAAUUCCCCAACCCUGUUUAAAACACGAUUUUCCACUAGUCAAAACCAUUCACUGUCUCUCUUUUGCCGGUCUAUAACACUAUUAGGAACUUUUUGAUCCUGUCAAUUUUCUAAGAAGAAGUAAGGCUAUAGGCUUAGAAAAUUGUUCGAUA